rnacentral:rRNA from 1 species
UUGUUGAUCCUGCCGGACCCCACUGCUAUCGGGAUGGUAUUAAGAAAUGCUAGUCGUGCGCCUCCAAGCCACGGUGGAGGCGCGGCGCACAGCUCAGUAACACGUGGCUAACCUACCCUUGGGACGGAAACAACCCCGGGAAACUGGGGCUAAUUUCCGAUAGGUGAAGACUCCUGGAAUGGGUCUUCGCCCAAAAGGCGUUUAGACCAUGCUUCUAAGCGCCGCCCAAGGAUGGGGCCGCGGCCGAUCAGGUUGUUGGUGAGGUAACGGCUCACCAAGCCUAUAACCGGUACGGGCCGUGGGAGCGGUAGCCCGGAGAUGGGCACUGAGACAAGGGCCCAGGCCCUACGGGGCGCAGCAGUCGCGAAAACUCCGCAAUACACGAAAGUGUGACGGGGCCAUCCCGAGUGCCAUCCGCUGAGGAUGGCUUUUCCCCAGUGUAGACAGCUGGGGGAAUAAGGAGAGGGCAAGUCGGGUGUCAGCCGCCGCGGUAAUACCCGCUCUCCGAGUGGUGGGGGCUUUUAUUGGGCUUAAAGCGUCCGUAGCGGGCCUAGUAAGUUUCCCGUUAAAUCUAGUGGCCUAACCACUAGGCUGCGGGAAAUACUGCUAGGCUUGGGGAUGGGAGAAGCCAUCGGUACUCCUGGGGUAAGGGUAAAAUCUUCUGAUCCCAGGAGGACCACCAGUGGCGAAGGCGGAUGGCUAGAACAUGCCCGACCGUGAGGGACGAAAGCUGGGGGAGCAAACGGGAUUAGAUACCACGGUAGUCCCAGCUGUAAACGAUGCAGACUAGGUGUAGGAGUGGCUACGGGCCACUCCUGUGCCGAAGGGAAAC